rnacentral:rRNA from 1 species
GAUGAACGCUAGCGGCAGGCCUAACACAUGCAAGUCGAGGGGCAGCACAAGAAGUAGCUUGCUACUUUUGGUGGCGACCGGCGCACGGGUGCGUAACGCGUAUGCAACCUACCCAUAACAGGGGGAUAACACUGAGAAAUUGGUACUAAUUCCCCAUAAUAUCAUUGAUGGCAUCAUUGAUGGUUGAAAACUCUGGUGGUUAUGGAUGGGCAUGCGUUGUAUUAGCUAGUGGUGAGGUAACGGCUCACCAAGGCGACGAUACAUAGGGGGACUGAGAGGUUAACCCCCCACAUUGGUACUGAGACACGGACCAA